GUCGAGCGGUAACAGAUCCAGCUUGCUGGAUGCUGACGAGCGGCGGACGGGUGAGUAAUGCAUAGGAAUCUGCCCGAUAGUGGGGGAUAACCUGGGGAAACCCAGGCUAAUACCGCAUACGUCCUACGGGAGAAAGGGGGCUCCGGCUCCCGCUAUGGGAUGAGCCUAUGUCGGAUUAGCUAGUUGGUGAGGUAACGGCUCACCAAGGCCACGAUCCGUAGCUGGUCUGAGAGGAUGAUCAGCCACAUCGGGACUGAGACACGGCCCGAACUCCUACGGGAGGCAGCAGUGGGGAAUAUUGGACAAUGGGGGAAACCCUGAUCCAGCCAUGCCGCGUGUGUGAAGAAGGCCCUCGGGUUGUAAAGCACUUUCAGCGAGGAAGAACGCCUAGCGGUUAAUACCCGCUAGGAAAGACAUCACUCGCAGAAGAAGCACCGGCUAACUCCGUGCCAGCAGCCGCGGUAAUACGGAGGGUGCAAGCGUUAAUCGGAAUUACUGGGCGUAAAGCGCGCGUAGGUGGCUUGAUAAGCCGGUUGUGAAAGCCCCGGGCUCAACCUGGGAACGGCAUCCGGAACUGUCAAGCUAGAGUGCAGGAGAGGAA
rnacentral:rRNA from 2 species